UAGAUUAGAUGAUGAUAUUAUGAAUGCUCUUUAUCCUAAUGAACCUAUCUUAGAGGAAAAUGAGGAUGAUGAUGAAACUCAAGCACCAGAUUUAGAUGAUACACCUUCUAGUCCUGCUCAUAACUUAGGUAAUGAACCGACUGAUAAUGAUGAUGAUGAAACCCAAGCACCAGAUUUAGAUGAUACACCUACUAGUCAUGUUCAUAACUCAAGUAAUGCACCGGCACACCCACCUGAAGAAACUCCAACUUUUAGUAGACAACCUACUAAUCAUGCAGAAACAUCAUUAGUUUGGCAUUUUUUUACUCAACUAAGAGAACAAAAUAAGGCUAAGCGUAAAACUUGUGGGAAAUUACUUGUUCAUAGGUAUACUAGAGAUCGUAGCGGCACGAGUAGUUUGACUAAGCAUAUAAAAUUACACCCUAGAGAUAAGGCUAUAUUUUUGCAAAUGAAAGCGCAACAAGAGGGGGGGACAAGUGUAGAUUCUCAAGUUAAUCCAAGUACUGGUUCAAAUCUAGUU
rnacentral:lncRNA from 1 species